rnacentral:lncRNA from 8 species
AUGUACAGCAGCCACAGCCAGGCCCUGCUGCCCGGGGGAGAGAGGCCCUUCAUCAGCCCGUGUAUGGAGGAAGACGAGAUGGAGCACGAGACCAGCAGCCAGCCAUCCAUGAGUACAUACUCUACAGAGAGCUCAGGUUCAUCGUCCCACUGUCUGUCCGGCAGCGGUUCCAGUGGUUCAGACAGUGGCUGUGUGUCCAGCCACCUCCCUGAGGAUCCCUCGUUCCCCUGCCGUCCCCCGUCCGACGCUGUAACGUCCCCCAGCCUCCCCAAAGACAAGCCGCGUUACAACAGCCAGUACAUUUCAGCUGUAAGUAAACGUCGUGGCUCAUCCAUACCAGGGUACACUUUAUACACAGUGGCUAUGGUCCUGGAGAAAUGCAGUGUGUGCAGGGUUUUUCUCCAGCCCAGCGCUACAACAGCCAGUACAGUGUGGUGUUUUCAGAGGGCUGCUUUGUACUAACAUUUACACAAUGCUGGUCUGGUUUGUGAUAUGUGACGAUCCCUGCAGUCAUGGAAGAAUGGUCGAUAGUUUGUCUCUAAUGGAAUGUGAUAUAUACUAUUGAUUCAUGUUAACAAUCAUUUCAUUGAUUGAUUAAACGUCACCUGUAAGAGCUUGGCUUUGUGCAAAACCCUGCUGACAUGAUCAAUACUUGUCACAUUCCUCAUAAUAACACAUUUGUAACCCUGGCCUCCCGCCCUCCCUCUCUCCCUCCCUCCCUCUCUCCCUUUCUCUUUCCCUCCCGCCCUCCCUCCCUCCCUCUCUCCCUCUCUCUUUCCCUCCCU